rnacentral:rRNA from 1 species
CUUUUAUGGAGAGUUUGAUCUUGGCUCAGGACGAACGCUGGCGGCGUGCCUAAUACAUGCAAGUCGAGCGCGGGAAGCAGACGGAUCCCUUCGGGGUGAAGUUUGUGGAACGAGCGGCGGACGGGUGAGUAACACGUGGGCAACCUACCUGUAAGACUGG